UGGUUUGCAAUAUCCUCUCCACAACAUUCUCUUGUCCAUGUAGCAACAAGAAGGAGACAGGGAAUCAAAAACUGACAUGAAAUCUCACAUCAUUUGAAAGUGAUUUGUUCUCUGCUCCUAAAUCAUCCAAGACAGUGAUUUAAACUAAUCUGGCUAUUUUGUCACUGACAUGGGCUAGAAGUACUUGUUAGAAGCUAGAAAGUAGGAAUUGAGAGUUGCAGACAGUCAUUUCUUAAAUUGCUCCUCUGCAUCCACUAAAGGACAUCUGAAUGUGUACUCACCAAGGCUCUUGUAGUACUGGCUAAUUACUUCUUUCAAAGCCAAGAGUUUAGGUUGUUUUUUUUCGUAUCACUUUUCUAGAAGUAUUAAUUCAUCUUAAAUUGAUUUCAUCUUUAAUGCAGCCAGAUAACUAAAUGACUUCCUUGCACAGUUUGCCAAACGGUCUUCCAAAGCAC
rnacentral:lncRNA from 1 species